UUCUUUAUCUAGAAUCCACCACUAGUGCAUUUUCCCUUAUUAACCCUUUAUUUGAACUCCCUCUUCCUCCAUCAACAUUCUUUGAGUAUGCAUGUUUGAUUCCUUCUUCAUUUUGCUGGGUAAUCCUCACUUUUUUUGGUUUUUUUCGGUUGAAAAUUUGAUCUGAAUUAAUCAUACUUCAUCUUCAUCUUCAUUUCUUUAUAAACCCUAGAUCUGAAAGUAGUCAGUUAUUUUUGGGUUUUUUCGGUUCAUAUAUUGAUCUGAACUUGGUUGUUCCAUACUUCAUCUGGGUAUUCCUCACAUUUUGUUUUUUUUUUUUGUUGUUGAAAACCUGAGUUCACUCUGGAUUAUUUUUGUGUGUUUUUUUAGUUCAUAUUCUGAUAUGAAAGUAUGGUUUUUAGAUUGUUUUUGUGGGUUUUUUCAAUUGAUUUCAUUUUCAACUGAUUUUCUUGAUCUACAUCUGACUUUCGGUUGAUUUCAUUUUCAAGUCAUUUUCUUGAACUACAUCUGCUUUUCGAUUGAAGAUCUUCAUAUUCGUUUGAUUUUCUUGAUCAGUUUCUCAUUUUCAUCUGAUUUCGUUUGAUUUUCUAGAAAAAUGGGUGAUUUAAACAAGAAAAUAAAUGGGGUUUCUGUUUUAUCUAGUAUGUGCCUUAAGAACAUUAACUGAAUUUCGGUAAUGUGUUAACAGUGGGCGGGAUUAUCUGGGACAAAAUGAAGUUAAGUGUAACAUUUGGGAAAUUAAUAUUUUAAGACGAGUAAGUUUAAGAGAAUUAUCAGUGCAAGAAUGAUCUUAAAUACACAUGACAUUAAACAUUCUCAAUUUAAUUUCUUCCCUCUUUUCCUUUUCUUUUAUUUCGAUUAAAAUACCUAAACCCUUUCUCCCUUUCUCACGUCGACAACCCAGAAGCCAAGAACACCUUCCCUUCCACGACAUUCCUCUUUGAACCUUCAAACCCGUAUUUCUCUAAAUUUCUUUGAAGAAAACGUCAAUGGCUGCGAGGGCAUGACCCGUUCUUCUUCCCUCUGAUCUUCGAAGGACCUGCAUGCGAAAUCAGUGAGUCCUUCUUCUUCCCUUCGUGAUUUUCAAGAAUCAUCUGAAAAAUUCCCUUCCUUGACCUUGAAUUCUACCGAUUUGGGGAAGGAUUGAGUGAGUUUUGGUCCUGUUGAUUAAACAUCAAAUCCAAGCCGAAAAUAAAGCAUUGAACCUGAAUUUUCCGUUUCUUGCUGCUGCAAACAGAAGAAUUGAUGAUUAAAAUUGGACUAAAUCCUCAAGCUUAUGAAAUGAAGUUGAAGUAAAAUGAUAAAGAAGAUAAGAUAAUGUGGGAAAGAUAAAGUAAAUAGGCUAGUUAGUAGAAUUUCAUUUUGGUGGGAAACAAAAUCAUCCUAGCAGCAUUGUUUUGGUGGGAAACAAAAUUUCCAUAAUGUAAUAUAUUGUGUUUUGGUGGGAAAUUAAGUCCCCACAUGUAAUCAUUUAUCUUUCUCUUUAAAAAACACUAUUUUUUAUACUUUUACAUUACUCAAAAAUUGAUUUCUUAAACCCAUGUGAAAAGGGUAAAAUAGAGAUUUUGUAGGAAAAAGAACCCUUUCUUAAAAAUUGUGCCAAACAGUAA